rnacentral:rRNA from 1 species
AUUGAACGCUGGCGGCAGGCCUAACACAUGCAAGUCGAACGAGUGGCGGACGGGUGAGUAAUGUCUGGGAAACUGCCCGAUGGAGGGGGAUAACUACUGGAAACGGUAGCUAAUACCGCAUACCAUCGGAUGUGCCCAGAUGGGAGUUGCUUGUAGGUGAGGUAACGGCUCACCUAGGCGACGAUCCCUAGCUGGUCUGAGAGGAUGAUCAGCCACACUGGAACGGAGACACGGGCCAGACUCCUACGGGAGGGAGGAGUGGGGAAUAUUGCACAAUGGGCGCAAGCCUGAUGCAGCCACGCCGCGUGUAUUAAGAAGGCCUUCGGGUUGUAAAGUACGUUCAGCGGGGAGGCGUUACCCGCAGAAGAAGCACCGGCUAACUCCGUGCCAGCAGCCGCGGUAAUAC